GGAAUGUGAGGGUUCCUUCGACUACGUUGGUUCGUGUGCUUCAUGGAUUCGUUCUUGUUCCAAGCGGGAUCUCAGGCAAGAUGACCAUUUCCCUAGAUACCAUUACUACCAAUGCCAUGCUAGUUGUCUUGUUUCUUUCGCUAUGUCUCGCUUCCCACCACUUAAAUGUCAGCCUCCCAACAUUGCCAUGAAAACCUCAAACUCUCCAAUAUCUAGCAAACCUUUGUUUGGCUAUGUUACCGCUUGCCCAGCCUUUUUGAUAGUAUUGCUAGUUGCAGGUGCAGUUGCUCCCAGGAGAUAACAUGAGUUCCUUGUUAUAUCACCAUAUAAUUGCUAGUUAAAGGUGGAAGGCAUAGCAUUCUAGCCUGGUGUUUUGUUCCAUCUUUGCCGCCUUAGGCCCCGUUUGGAACCACAAUAUAUUAUAAUAACCUGGAUUACGAAGAUAUAUUAUAUAAUCUGGUUUAUAAAAAUAACCUAGGUGGACAUGUUUGGAGACCAGAUUAUAUAAACUGUAAUCCAGGUUUUAUAUUGUACAAUGACAUGUAUGCCCUCUGUCUUUUAGCUGCAAAUGUAAUAAUAUAGGUGGGAAUGUUUGAAGGACGGUGGCGGUGGCAGUAGGUAAUUAUCUCCAAGUUUCCAAGGGUAAUGGGUCAUUAGUAAUCCAUAAUCUCAUUUUAGCUGGGGUAGAGUAUAUUGUGAGUUUUUAAUAAUCUGGUCAUAUAGUUUUUAUAAUCUGUAAUAUAAUCUGUCCUGUUUGGAGACAUAAUAGAUUAUAAAAAUCAUAUUAUCUAAUAUGAGUGGUUUCAAAUAGGGCCGUAGUUUCGGCUACCGGUGUUAUAUUCCAUAACUGAGGGCUCGGGGUUGUUAUGGGGACCCCCUUGAUAAUUCUUCUUGGUUUAAAAGUGGUCUGGCAAGGCCCAACUUUGGUACUAUUUUCCUAAUCACUAAUCAACCGUAUAGGGAGUAAUUAACCCGAGGAAACUUAAUCAACAACACGGUCCAGUGCUCCUCAUGAGUGUUGGUCCAAAAAGGGCGGACUGCAGGGCCACCACAGGGAAACUCGAGGUCUGGUUCCUAUCUGGUCGUGUCCUGAGAACGAUAUACGCGGCUCCUAUCGGGUCGUCGACACGUCGGGCGGCCUUGCUGGACUUGUUUUACCUUUGACGAAAUAUCUUGUGCAUCGGGAUUCCGGUGAUGCUUUGGGCUAUCUCAGAGUUGAGGUUUUCCACUAAGGAAUCCUAGGAGAUAACGAGUUUCAUGAUCGAGGCUUUCUAUUCAGCUUGUGGUAAGUUGUGAUGGAUUAGUUGGAGUACCCUUGUAGGGUUGAAUCUUUCUGAAAGCCGUGCCCGCGGUUAUGUGGCAAACUUGGAAACUUUGUUUAACAUCCGGUUCUAGAUAACUUGAAGCAAAUUUAUUAAAAAACUUGCCAACUGUGUGUGUAAUCGUGACCGUCUCUUCCGUGAGCUCCUUCUCCGACUAAGGACACGGUGGGGUUAUGUUUGACGUAAGUAAGUGUUCAGGAUCAUUCAUUUGAUCAUCAUUAGUCACGUCCGUUUACGCGCAGAUCAUCCCCCUCUUAAUCUUGUACUCGUAAGUUAGCCACCUCAAAUAAAUGCUUAGUUGCUUGCUUCAGCCUCACCACUUAAGCAUACCUCACCCAUUAAGCUUUACUAUUCUUGAUACCUUUGGAAAUGAGAUUGUUGAGUCCAUGUGGCUCACAGAUUACUACAACACCAGUUGCAGGUACAGGUAAAGCAAUACUUUGAUGUGAGCGUGAUGAUUGUUCUAUUUGGAGUUUCUUCUUCUUCUNNNNNNNNNNNNNNNAUCUAGGAUGGGUUCGAGGCCGACAUCUUGGGAUAGCAAGGAUGGACAUAGUUCUUUUAUCAUUUGUUUUCGUCCGUAGCCAGAGCCUGCUCUUCUACAUGAUGACUGUAUGUUGUUGUAUUGAUGUGAUCUUGAUGUUGCUUGUGGCGAGUGUAAGCCAAUUCCAUAUACUCAUCUCUUUAGUACAUGUACUUGUAACGAUAUCCAUUCUUGCAAAAUGACGGGAUGUGCUUCUAUCCCCGUCGAGGCCCUCGAGCCAAAAUAAUGAUAGGAUCGCAUCUUGGGCGUUACAUUAUCACUAGACUUAAAAAGGGAAACACUUAUGGG
rnacentral:lncRNA from 1 species